CUAGAAGCUAGGUUAAUUGAAACCGAGGACUUGUGGCGUCCUAGAUUUAUGUUUUAAGUUCUAGU
rnacentral:tRNA from 1 species